UAUAUGGAGAGUUUGAUCCUGGCUCAGGACGAACGCUGGCGGCGUGCCUAAUACAUGCAAGUCGAGCGGACAGAUGGGA
rnacentral:rRNA from 1 species